rnacentral:rRNA from 1 species
GACGAACGCUGGCGGCGUGCUUAACACAUGCAAGUCGAACGCUGAAGCUCAGCUUUUGUUGGGUGGAUGAGUGGCGAACGGGUGAGUAACACGUGAGUAACCUGCCUCCUUCUUUGGUAUAACGCCCGGAAACGGGUGCUAAUACUGGAUAUUCACUGGUCUUCGCAUGGGGGUUGGUGGAAAGGGUUUUUCUGGUGGGGGAUGGGCUCGCGGCCUAUCAGCUUGUUGGUGGGGUGAUGGCCUACCAAGGCUUUGACGGGUAGCCGGCCUGAGAGGGUGACCGGUCACAUUGGGACUGAGAUACGGCCCAGACUCCUACGGGAGGCAGCAGUGGGGAAUAUUGCACAAUGGGCGCAAGCCUGAUGCAGCGACGCCGCGUGAGGGAUGGAGGCCUUCGGGUUGUGAACCUCUUUCGCUCAUGGUCAAGCCGCAACAAUGGUUGUGGUGAGGGUAGUGGGUAAAGAAGCGCCGGCUAACUACGUG